UACGGAGGGAGCUAGCGUUGUUCGGAAUUACUGGGCGUAAAGCGCACGUAGGCGGACUACUAAGUCAGGGGUGAAAUCCCGGGGCUCAACCCCGGAACUGCCUUUGAUACUGGUAGUCUCGAGUCCGGAAGAGGUGAGUGGAAUUCCGAGUGUAGAGGUGAAAUUCGUAGAUAUUCGGAGGAACACCAGUGGCGAAGGCGGCUCACUGGUCCGGUACUGACGCUGAGGUGCGAAAGCGUGGGGAGCAAACAGG
rnacentral:rRNA from 1 species